rnacentral:rRNA from 1 species
CCUACGGGGGGCAGCAGUGAGGAAUAUUGGUCAAUGGACGAGAGUCUGAACCAGCCAAGUAGCGUGAAGGAUGACUGCCCUAUGGGUUGUAAACUUCUUUUAUAUGGGAAUAAAAUGUUCCACGUGUGGGAUUUUGUAUGUACCAUAUGAAUAAGGAGCGGCUAACUCCGUGCCAGCAGCCGCGGUAAUACGGAGGAUCCGAGCGUUAUCCGGAUUUAUUGGGUUUAAAGGGAGCGUAGGGGGAUUGUUAAGUCAGUGGUGAAAGUUUGCGGCUCAACCGUAAAAUUGCAGUUGAAACUGGCAGUCUUGAGUCCAGUAGAGGUGGGCGGACUUCGUGUUGUAGCGG